AUUGAACGCUGGCGGCAGGCCUAAAACAUGCAAGUCGAACGAGUGGCGGACGGGUGAGUAAUGUCUGGGAAACUGCCUGAUGGAGGGGGAUAACUACUGGAAACGGUCGCUAAUACCGCAUAACAGCGGCUGUGCCCAGAUGGGAUUAGCUAGUCGGGGGGGUAAAGGCUCACCUAGGCGACGAUCCCUAGCUGGUCUGAGAGGAUGACCAGCCACACUGGAACUGAGACACGGUCCAGACUCCUACGGUAGGCAGCAGUGGGGAAUAUUGCACAAUGGGCGCAAGCCUGAUGCAGCCAUGCCGCGUGUAUGAAGAAGGCCUUCGGGUUGUAAAGUACUUUCAGCGGGGAGGCGUUACCCGCAGAAGAAGCACCGGCUAACUCCGGGCCAGCAGCCGCGGUAAUAC
rnacentral:rRNA from 1 species